AUGGCUUACUAUUCAGAUCAUCAGGCUUAUGCGAGCAACACUACAAACAGCACAGAAAGUGUUCAAGAACUGAUAGGUAAGAUUUCCCUUCGAUUAGAUGAUUUAGCUCAGCAGCGAGAGGUAGUUUUUGAGGAUAGGCCUAGCUCUUAUGAUCCUUAUUCUAGAGGUCAUCCUUAUGUUGCUCCUACAUGCCAUAUUUGUGGAUUUCAGGGCCAUUCACCCGCUGAAUGUCGGCGUGGUUACUCUCACCCUCCCGAUUGUUAUGGCAUGAGCUUCGCCCCACAGCCUAGCUCAUACCAAAACAAUUACACACAUGGGUGGCCUGAAAACCAGAAUAUGUCAUAUAGGAGCAACAACCCUGAGAUCUCACAGUUUGGUUCUAGUAAUCAUAUGUAG
rnacentral:rRNA from 1 species